rnacentral:sRNA from 1 species
AAAACUUUAUUAAGGGCGUAUGGUGGAUGCCUCGGCAUAGAAAGGCGAUGAAGGACGUUGCGUGCCAACGAUAUUCUUCGGGGAGCUGGUGAGCGAGCUUCGAUCCGGAGAUUUCCGAAUGGGGAAACCCUGUAUCGGCAAACCGAUAUAAUCCGUCGAAAGACGGGAGCAUACCCGCUGAAGUGAAACAUCUCAGUAAGCGGAGGAACAGAAAAUAAUGAAACUUUUAUUCUCGGGAGCUCUAUAGUGGGCGCUCGGGAAUAAAAAGUUUUAACAUUCCCUAAGUAGCGGCGAGUGAAAUGGGAACAGCCCAAACCGAGAUCGUGGCCCUCAAAAGCUACGGGCUCGGGGUUAUAGGAUGUCGUAUCCUUUAAUGGAACGAGUUUAAAAAAUUGUUCGUAUUAGCUAAACAUGUCUGGAAAGACUGGCCAAAGAGGGUAAUAGCCCCGUAGGCGAAAAUACGAGCAAGCUCGCGCGACAUUCCUGAGUACUACCCAUGUAAGGAGACUGGGUAGGAAUUCGGCAGAACUAGUCUGCCAAGGCUAAAUACUUUCUAUGACCGAUAGUGAACAAGUACCGUGAGGGAAAGGUGAAAAGCAGCCCCGUGAGGGCGGUGAAAUAGACCUGAAACCAUAUGUUUACAAGGAGUCAGCGAGGCCGUAAGGCCUCUAUGGCGUGCCUAUUGAAGAAUGAGCCAACGAGUUAUUCUACACUGCUUGAUUAAAUCCUUCGGGAUGAAGUCAGAGGGAAACCAAGUGUUAAAAGCGCGCAUACUCUCUAUAAAAUUCAUUGCGGAAUUCGUUCUGCGGUGAGUUUUAUAGGCGAGUUGGUAGUGUGGAGUAGACCCGAAGCCAGGUGAGCUACCCAUGAGCAGGAUGAACUCCAACGAAAGUUGGAGGGAGGUCCGAACCGGUGAGCCGUUCAAAACUCUCGGAUGACUUGUGGGUAGGAGUGAAAAGCUAAUCGAACUUGGUAAUAGCUGGUUCUCUCCGAAAUAGCUUUAGGGCUAGCCUCGGAUUAUAAGCGGCGUGAGGUAGAGCACUGGAAGGUCUAUAAUUGCCGAAAGGCAGGUAGACCUAUCAAACUCCGAAUGCGCGCCGAUUUAUUCCGGGAGUCAGCAGGUGGGGGCAAAGCUCCAUCGUGCAUGAGGGGAAGAGCCCAGAUCGUCGUCUAAGGCCCCUAAAUCUACACUAAGUGUUUAAGGUGGUGACAUUUCUCAAACAGCAAGGAGGUUGGCUUAGAAGCAGCCAUCCUAUAAUGAGUGCGUAACAGCUCACUUGUCUAGAGAUAUUGCGCCAACAAUUCAACGGGGCUAAGUGUAGUGCCGAAGACACGGGUUCGUAGAUCUCAUUGAGGAAAGUAAUACAUAAGGCAGGGAAGUAGCUUAAUGGCAGAGCGGGUGCUUGGCGCAUUGCAGUGGAGCAAUUGCAUUAAGCACUGAAAGACUGUGGGUUCGAAUCCCACCUUCCCAGCCAAAUCUUGGGUAGGUCUGUAGCUCAGGUGGCAGAGCACUCCCUUUAGCAGGGGAGGGGCCGGAGGUUCAAUCCCUCCCAGACCUACCAAAUUAGUUCUUUCUUAAGGCAAGCGACAUGCUUGCCUCCUCAAUGAGAUCUACGAGCGGUAGGAGAGCAUUUUCAUUGCAGUGAAGGUCGACCCGCGAGGGCGACUGGAGCGAUGAGAAGGGAGAAUGUUGGCACUAGUAACCACAAAUUCGGUGAAAGUCCGAAUCGCCGGAAGUCUAAGGUUUCCUUGGCAAUGACAAUCAACCAAGGGUAAGGCGGUCCUAAGGGGAUGGUGAAAACCGAACCUGAUGGAUAAUCGGUUAAUAUUCCGAUCCUUCUUCUGUUUUCCAAUGGAGGGACGGAGCGUAUUAGGUAUGGCGCAUUAUUGAAUUUGACGCUCAUGCCCGCAAGAUGUUCUCUUGGCAAAUCCGGAGAGCUGCCUUCAAUGGCGGAUCAAGCGGGAGUGAAAAUUCUGUAGAAGUACAGGAAAUCAUACCGAACGCGCUUCCCAGAAAAACUUCUAGGGUUAAGGCAGGAGAAACCGUACCGAAAACCGACACAGGUGGACUGGUACAAGAAUACCAAGGCGAACGGGUGAGAUUUCGUUAAGGAACUCGGCAAAAAAGCGGCCGUAACUUCGGGAUAAGGCCUGCCCCGCGAACGCGGGGCCGCAGCGAAAGUAUCUCUGGCAACUGUUUACCAAAAACACAGGUCCGUGCUAACUCGUAAGAGGAUGUAUACGGGCUGACGCCUGACCAAUGCGAGAAGGUUAAAGAUUCUUGUUGUGGGGGUUUAUUCUCUCACAGCUCUGGGUCUCAAGCCCUCGUCAAUGUCAGCAGUAACUAUAACUGUUCUAAGGUAGCGAAGUUCCUUGUCGGGUAAGUUCCGACGCGCACGAAAGGCGUAAUGACUGGAGAACUGUCUCAACGAAAUGCCCGGUGAAAAUACAGUACCGGUGAAGAUGCCGGUUACCCAUAGUUAGACGAAAAGACCCCGGAAGCUUUACUGUAGCUUGGCAUUGAAUUUACUAUUUGGCUGCGUAGCAUAGAUGGGAGAGGUUGAUCCCCGGUUUCCGGAUCGGGGGGACUCGUCAGUGAAAUACCAUUCUUUCAAAUUGUAUUUUCUAACCUACACAAAACCAAAAAGGAAAGUGUGUAGAGACAGUGCCUGGUGGGCAGUUUAAGUGGGGCACUUUCCUCCCAAAAGGUAAUGGAGGAGUUUAUUAAGGUCAGCUUACUCCGGAUGGAAAUCGGAGGGGACGUGUAAAGGCACAAGCUGGCUUAACUGCAAGGCGGAUAUGCCGCGCAGAUGCGAAAGCAGAACUUAGUGAACCGAUGGUCAUGGUAUAUGUUUUCAUUUCGCACUUCGGUGCGAGACGAAGAUGUAUGUCGCUUUCUAGAAAAAGGCCAAAGAUUAUCAGAUAAAAGCUACUCCGGGGAUAACAGGCUAGUCGUUUCCAAGAGUCCAUAUCGACGAAACGGAUCGGCACCUCGAUGUCGGCUCAACUUAGCGCGGGGGUGAAGAAGCUCCCAAGCGUUCGGCUGUUCGCCGAUUAAAAAGUUACGUGAGCUGGGUUCAAACCGUCGUGAGACAGGUUGGUCUCCUAUCUACUAUGGGCGUUGAUACUUGUGGGGAGUCGUUUCUAGUACGAGAGGACCGAAAUGAACGUACCUCUGGUGUAUCGGUUGUUCCGUCAGGAGCAUUGCCGAGUAGCUAUGUACGGAUGUGAUAACCGCUGAAAGCAUCUAAGCGGGAAGCACGCCCCGAGAUUAGGUAUCAUAGACUCGUGAAAGACUAUCACGUUGAUAGGCUUCAGGUGUACGCACCGCAAGGUGUUGAGCCGAGAAGUACUAAUACGUCAUCUAAGUUUUAUCC